rnacentral:misc_RNA from 1 species
UCCGAGUUGACCCCGGCAGUCUCCCACGAGUCCCCGACAUCACUCGCUGGCAACAUGGGACAAGGGUUGCGCUCGUUGCGGGACUUAACCCAACAUCUCACGACACGAGCUGACGACAGCCAUGCACCACCUAUCACGGGCCCCGAAGGACACCGUAUUUCUACGGCUUUUCCCGCAUAGUUCAGCCCAGGUAAGGUUCUUCGCGUUGCAUCGAAUUGAGCCACAUGCUCCGCCGCUUGUGCGGGCCCCCGUCAAUUCCUUUGAGUUUCAGCCUUGCGGCCGUACUCCCCAGGCGGGGAGGAAGGUGGGGAUGACGUUUACGUGCACUU